GGGAUGCUAAUUCUUCUGGUGGCGUUAAUUAUGAUUGUUGUUUUAUUGAUUAGAAAGAAAAAAGGCAAACGGACCCAAGAACAUUCGAGUGUGCUAUCAACUGUUGGCGAGCCAAUAAGUAUCGUCCAUGACGAGCCGCAACAAAUGGCCGCCGCAAAGCCAAAUAAUGAGCAACAAUGUUCGCUACCAACAUCAGAGUCGGUUACUACAAUGUUCAUUCAAGAACCGGUAUAUUCGAACAUGAAGG